GGUUCUGAGCCGGGUAUUUAACAGCUGGCCACGCGUGUUUUCUCACUCAGGUGGGUAACAGUGUGGAAAAAGACUUAAUACUACCAUCGUGUAUAUCAGUGAAAUUGGAGAUAUCGGUACACAAGCACAUUCUCUGUGACGUUAAACAGAGGAAAAUCAUGAUGUGGGGCACAGCUGACUGAAGUAUCUAAUGGAUAAAUAUAUCCCGACACGGUGCUUCAUGACAACCUUACUCUCACUUCACCAUGACAUUGAGAUGCAUUGUCUGCAGAGAUAUCCAUCUUCAAUAGACUAAGACCUAUGUAUGGUUCAAGCGGCGACACUACAGGAAUGAACAGGGCAGCUGUCAGGUAGAACAAAGUAUGGAACAUAAUUAACGUGCACGCAAUAGAAGAAAUGCAGAAAACUGAUGGAGGCUUUACACAAUGUCGUAUAAAACUACAGGGAAUCUUUCAACGCGGAAAAUGAAAUUUAAAUGAGCAAACAUGACGGGCAUGCUCUCUGUAGGAAUUCCGAUUAAACGGAAUACGAAACAUGUCGGUGUCGGGUGUUACCGUGGUUCCAUCGCAAUAACAUUGUAGCAUGGUAAAUUCAUAGAAACAGCUCGGCCAAAGUCAAUAUUGGUUCUAAAGGCAUCAGCACACACAACAGAAAGACCUGACUUCAGUGAAAGCAUUUAAACAGAUUGAGACCAGAGAAACGGGACCUGACUUUGAAAUACAGUUGACCAAAAUGCCAGAAUCGAAAGCAUAUUUUGGCUUCAUAAACGGGUAUGGAUGUUAAUCGACAAAUGAUGAAUAACAGCUGUCAAGAAGAUUAAAAUUCGAUCUCGAAGUUUCAUUGGCUACGAAGUGGUCUUGCGUUGAUGUUUGAAAACACAACAUAAUGCAUUAUUGACUCUGUCGUCCAGGAAGCUUCAGAUUGAGACGAGCAGUCUCCGUGUUUCCAAGAAUAGGCUUCAAAUGAAGACAGAGGAGAGGGAGAAAUAUAGAUUUAGUCACGGACAUGGUAUAUUCUCCACAAUAAAGUGCUUGCGUGAUAAAUUUCUGUUAUUUGGAUAUUAAAGCUUGGACAAUUACAAGCUAAGCUCUUAUACUAUUGCCACAAUUGGAAUUGGAAAUACGUUUCAUGUUCCAAAUCUGGCAUAAUGGAAUCGGUCAUGACGUCUGCGACGAACGUUUGUGUAUUCUGAUUGAACAUCUUUCGACACAAUAAACGUGUUUGAUCAAGGAGUCUGGCGAACGGCUCGUUGGUAUUUUGGCAGACUCAGUAUCGCUACAUUACGAUCUCAUACUUUUGAGGCCGCGAGUCACGAUGAAAAACACCCGGGUAAGUCGAAAUCAGUACAAAGUCCGCUCG
rnacentral:misc_RNA from 1 species